rnacentral:rRNA from 1 species
CAGUCGAACGGAGACAUUUGCGAUUAUAUCAAUUUUGUCUUAGCGGCGAACGAGGUAGUAAUGCGUAGGUAUAUACCCCAAAGUCAAGAAUAACUCAUCGAAAGAUGGGCUAAUACUUGAUAGUCUCUUCGGAGUAAAGUUUUAACGCUUUGGGAAUAGCCUGCGUGACAUCAGCUAGUUGGUAGGGUAAUGGCCUACCAAGGCAAUGACGUCUAGGGGAGCUGAGAGGCUGACCCCCACCGAUGGAACUGAGACACGGUCCAUACACCUACGGGUGGCUGCAGUCGAGAAUCUUCCGCAAUGGGCGCAAGCCUGACGGAGCGAUGUCGCGUGAUUGAUGAAGUCCUUCGGGAUGUAAAGGUCUUUUAUGAGGGAGAAAGUUAUUGAUAGUACCUCAUGAAUAAGGGGUUGCUAAACUCGUGCCAGCAGCAGCGGUAAUACGAGUGCCCCAAGCGUUAUCCGGAAUUAUUGGGCGUAAAGGGUGUGUAGGUGGUUCUGUUAGUCGAGUGUCAAAGACCCGGGCUUAACCUGGGGAAGGCAUUCGAAACGGCAGACCUAGAGGAUGCGAGAGGUGUGUAGAACUCAUAGUGUAGGGGUGAAAUCCGUUGAUAUUAUGGGGAAUACCAAAAGCGAAGGCAGCACACUGGCGCACUCCUGACACUGAAACACGAAAGCGUGGGUAGCGAAUGGGAUUAGAUACCCCAGUAGUCCACGCCCUAAACGAUGUACAUUUGCUUUUCGGAGUAUCGACCCUCUGAGAGGCGUAGCUAACGCGUUAAAUGUACCGCCUGGGUAUUACGACCGCAAGGUUAAAACUCAAAGGAAUAGACGGG